GUGCUCACUUUGGCAGCACCAAAAUUGGAACUAUACAGAGAUUAGCAUGGCCCCUGUGCAAAGAUGACAUGCAAAUUUGUGAAGAGUUCCAUAUUUAA
rnacentral:snRNA from 1 species